rnacentral:lncRNA from 1 species
UUUGUAUUUUUAGUAGAGAUGGGGCUUCACCAUGUUGGCCAGGCUGGUCUCAAUCUCCUGACCUUGUGAUCUGCCCACCUCGGCCUCCCAAAGUGGUGGGAUUACAGGUGUGAGCCACUGCACCUGGCCAGAAUUAAUGUUAUACACCUUUGGCUGGGUGCAGUGGUUCAUGCCUGUAAUCCCAGCACAUCCAGAGGCUAAGACAGGAGGAUCACUAGAGCCCAGGAGUACAAGACCAGCCUGGGCAACAUAAUGAGACCCCAUCUCUUCAAAAAAAAUUAAAAAAAACACAGCCAGGCAUGUUGGUGCGUGCCUGUAGUCUCACCUACUCAGGAGGCUGAGGUGGGAGGAUUGCUUGAGCCUGGGAGUUCAAGGCUGCAGUAAGCUGUGGUCACACCACUGCACUCCAGCCUGGGUGACAGAGCGAGACCUUGUCUCAAAAGAAAAAAAAAAAAGUUGGCCGGGCACAGUGGCUCACGGUUGUAAUCCCAGCACUUUGGAAGGCUGAGGCGGGUGGAUCAUGAGGUCAGGAGAUCGAGGCCAUCCUGG